rnacentral:rRNA from 1 species
UCCUCCCUCUUUCUUCGUGCUUAACACAUGCAAGUCGAACGAAGAGCGAUUGACGCUUGCUUCUAUCACUCUUAGUGGCGAACGGGUGAGGGACGCGUAAUCAACCUGCCCUUCAGAGGGGGACAGCAGCUGGUAACGACUGCUAAUACUGCAUACGCUCAAACUUCGGUAUCGAGUAUUGAUGGACUGUGGCCUCCACAUGUAUGCCAUCACUAUAGGAGUGGAUUGCGUUGGAUUAGCGAGGUGGAGGGGUAACGGCUCACCUAGGCGAUGAUAAGUAGCCGGGCUGAGAGGAUGAACGGCCACAUUGGGACUGAGACACGGCCCAGACGCCUACGGGAGGCAGCAGUAGGGAAUCUUCCGCAAUGGACGAAAGUCUGACGGAGCAACGCCGCGUGAGUGAGGACGGCCUUCGGGUUGUAAAGCUCUGUUAAUAGGGAAGAAAGGCCGUCUUGCGAAUAGGUAGAAGGAUUGACGGUACCGGACCAGAAAGCCACGGCUAACUACGUG